GAUUUGGACUCAUUGGAUCAAAACUUGGCUAAGAACUUGGCUGGGGACGUGAUCGGAACCAGGUUCGAGAAUGAGGACGUGAAGUCGACUCCUUUCCAACCAUACACCGAGGUGUUUGGGCUUCAGAGGUUCAGGGAGUGCGAACUGAUACACGGGAGAUGGGCUAUGUUGGCUACCCUUGGUGCGCUUGUUGUUGAAUCGGUGACUGGUGUUACAUGGCAAGACGCUGGAAAGGUACCAUAUAUAUAUGUAUAACCUAAUCUGUAUCAUUUAUCAAUCAUAAAAACAAAAGAGCUCAUUAACUAAUCUUUUUAUUUGACAUUUGCUUUCUUUUAGGUGGAACUAAUCGAUGGUUCAUCUUAUUUUGGACAACCGUUACCCUUCUCUAUCACUACUUUGAUUUGGAUCGAGGUUUUGGUUAUCGGAUACAUUGAGUUUCAAAGGAACGCUGAACUGGAACCUGAGAAAAGACUCUACCCAGGUGGUCCAUUCGAUCCAUUGAACUUGGCAGCUGACCCUGAAAAGAAAGCUGUUCUUCAAUUGGCGGAGAUCAAGCAUGCUCGUCUUGCUAUGGUGGCGUUUCUUGGGUUUGCUGUCCAGGCUGCAGCCACCGGAAAGGGCCCGCUCAACAACUGGGUAACCCAUUUGAGUGACCCGCUUCACACUACCAUUCUUGAUACCUUUGGGUUCUUUUCCUAGAUAUAUUUUGUUUUAAUUACUAUCUCUACAUAUGAUACUUAUGCAUCCUCGUCUUUACUAUGACCUUGUAAAGUUUGUAACAUUUGGCUGUUUG
rnacentral:lncRNA from 1 species